rnacentral:lncRNA from 1 species
UUCCACUUAACUAGAAAAAUUGCAUUUCCUUGCAGAAAAUGCGUGGAAAUGCUGAGUGCUGAAAGCUGAAAAAGCAAUGCUAAACUGCUAAUAAAACAUGGAGAAAGGUAUAAAUGUAAAAGCUGUUGAAGGGGGGAAAAAAUAUAUAAGUUAAAUAAUUGUAAAUAAGAGGUUGGAGAAUAAAUAGUACGAAUAUGCUCCUCAAAUUGAAAUUUGAUUCAUGCUGAAAGAGGCUGGAAAUUUUUUUACAAUUACACAAAGUUUGAAUGAAGAAGUAAAUUACCUUAAAAGGCAAGUACGUGAGAAGUGGCAUAAGUUUAAGUUGUAGUACUAGAAGUAGUAUGAUAAUAGGUAGUUGUAGUAGUGAUAUUAGUAGUCAUGUAAGCAGUAGAAGUAGUUUUAGAAUAGAAGAAGUAGAAGUCAAAGCAGUAGAGCUCGUGGUAGAAGUAAGAGUAGAAGUAAAAAAAUAUUAAGAGAAGCAAGAGCAGUGGAGGUAGAAGUGAAGAUACAAGUUAAGGUGACAUAAGUAGUAAUUGUAGUGGUAGAACUGGGAUUUUGCUUGAAGAAUCAAAACAUACAUAAAUAAUGAGAAUGAUUUUGAAGUGGGAAAAACUUUAAAUAAUUAGACGUCCUAAUGUGUUAAACAGGUUUGAAGUAUCCGAAAGGUUUGAAUCAGUUUGAAUGAGUUUGGAUUUGUCUGAAGCAUUUAAUAAUGCAUGAAUAAUGAGAAUAAUUUUAAAGUGGGAAAAAGUUAAAUGAAUAAAAAUCCUGAGUACACCCCAUAUUGUCCUCAAUGAGCUGAAUAUUUGGAAGCCCUGAAUGGUUUCUGUAGCUCAAAGUUUGUAGUCCUCGCUUUGUGGGUCUUUUCUCAUAGACCUCACAAGGCAGCAAGUACAAGAAUGUGUGUGUGUGUGUCUCUCCUUAAUGACUGCAUCCUAAACAGCUGUGAGAUCAAAGGCAUUAACUGACCAACUGUUUGACUGAGAAGCUCCUUAAGUGCAGUGAAUUUAUUGCCUCUGAACUUCUUCACAUAGCGUGAUUUCCUUAAGUCCAAGAAUGAAAAUAAGAACAUCGUACGAAUCCUCCGCCCUUCAUGAACACAAUGAUGUGUUUUUCAUGUCUGUACUCCAAGAAAUGUGGCCACAACAGCGAGUUAAAAAAGUCUGAGCCUGAGUGGCGAUAAGGAUUUUCUUGCAGAAAAAAUACAUUAGGGCUAAUGGGAGAGAUUUCCGCCUAUUUGAACAGUUGGUCACCUGCUGGCCAAGGGGUAGGAUUAAAUGAUUUGAAACCUCUUUUGUGAGAAGCAGGACACAUAUACCUCCAUUUUGAUGUAUUUUUUAUGUCUGUGGAGUGAGAUUUGUAGGCGUGGGAGCGAUAUAUUCGAGCGAGGUUCUGUCGAUCAGAGACGAGGUCUGCACUCUAGCUUUUCAAAUCCUCACUCUAAACUCUCCAAUACACACCCAUUAUAAAGCCUGAAAAUUUGCUGAAAACCACAAGUUGCUUAAAGCUAAAUUGUUGUGGAAGAACUGUAAAAGAUAUCAAAAAACUGACUACAACUGUAAUAGUCGACAAGACAAUGAACAUUUUAAAGCAAAAAUGAGGUCUCUAGGUGAAAGUAUGCAGAAGUUACAAGGUUCAGAAGGUGGAAGAAUAACAGGAAGAAUUGGAAGAUUUCCCCAUUGACUUCAAUGUUAAAAUUUUUGCAUAAAAAGUUAAAAAAAUCAAAAAGUAUAAAGGGUAGAAAAGUGAAAAGUAAUCGCCGUCAUGUCCUGAAGGAGAGGAAUAGUUUAAAGUUUGAACGGUUGAAAUCGCACAAAGUGGAGAAGAGUUAUAAAGUGCCAAAAAAUGGCGGAAGAAAAAUAAUAAUAAUAAUAAUAAUAAUAAAGAAACAGGAGAAUAACAAUAAGUGGAAAUGCCUAUCAGCAUUUCCACUUAACUA